rnacentral:misc_RNA from 1 species
GAAAUGCGAUAAGUAAUGUGAAUUGCAGAAUUCAGUGAAUCAUCGAAUCUUUGAACGCACAUUGCGCUUCCUGGUAUUCCGGGGAGCAUGCCCGUUUCAGAAUCAUUGAAAAUCUCAAGACCCCGGUGUUUUCGGACCCCGGGCUAUUGGAUAUGGGUGUUUUUGCCGAUGUGCAAGCGCCUUAAACGCAUUGUGCGUGCACCGAUUGGCUGUUCAAUGGGUUUCCAAAGUGCAACAGAACUUUCUAUUUCACUGAGGACUCUCAAUGGGCUGCCUCGGAGCAGGCUCUCAAUGUUUUAGACGGAGGCUGUCACAGUUGGGGCGGUCUCUGAUAACUUGGUCUGAAAUCGGGCAAGAAAACCCGCUGAACUUAA